AGGGAAUCUUCCACAAUGGACGCAAGUCUGAUGGAGCAACGCCGCGUGAGUGAAGAAGGUUUUCGGACCGUAAAGCUCUGUUGUUGGUGAAGAAGGAUAGAGGUAGUAACUGGCCUUUAUUUGACGGUAAUCAACCAGAAAGUCACGGCUAACUACGUGCCAGCAGCCGCGGUAAAUCGUAGGUGGCAAGCGUUGUCCGGAUUUAUUGGGCGUAAAGCGAGCGCAGGCGGAAGAAUAAGUCUGAUGUGAAAGCCCUCGGCUUAACCGAGGAAUUGCAUCGGAAACUGUUUUCUUGAGUGCAGAAGAGGAGAGUAGAACUCCAUGUGUAGCGGUGGAAUGCGUAGAUAUAUGGAAGAAUACCAGUGGCGAAGGCGGCUCUCUGGUCUGCAACCGACGCUGAGGCUCGAAAGCAUGGGUAGCGAACAGGAUUAGAUACCCUGGUAGUCCAUGCCGUAAACGAUGAGUGCUAAGUGUUGGGAGGCUUCCGCCUCUCAGUGCUGCAGCUAACGCAUUAAGCACUCCGCCUGGGGGAGUACGACCGCAAGGUUGAAAC
rnacentral:rRNA from 1 species